CGGGGUCUGUCCGUGCAGAGCAAGCAGAAAGGAGAAAGGGGGGAGCCGGGAUCCAAGGGCGAGAAGGGAGAGCCAGGUGGAGGAUUCUACGGCCCCCAAUACGCUGGGGUCCAAGGCGUGCCGGGACCUCCGGGGCCACCAGGGCCGAGGGGAGAAUCCAUCAGGGGACCUCCUGGUCCACAGGGGCCACCAGGGACCCCUGGGGUUGGUUACGCUGGACAACCAGGAUAUCCUGGGCCUCCAGGGCCCCCUGGGCCUCCAGGCCCCGCAUCGUUGCCUGGAGCUUACAGGCCCACACACAGUGAGUCUGGCAGCGUUCCUCCCUUUAAGGCUGUGUUUGUGACGCCAGUCUGGACGCUCCUUACAAGCAAGAGAUAUGCAUGUGUAAUUGUGUUUGCACGUGAAAGGCAGAACUCUUCUAGACGUGUUUCAGAACUGCUAACGCCCCCCUUCAUUUGCCAGGCAUCAGUCUCCCCGGGCCCCCGGGGCCACCCGGCCCCCCCGGAGCUCCGGGGCCCAUUUCUGGGGUGCUGGUCUUGAGAUCCUUUGCUGCCAUGGGGGCCACUGCGCGGAGGCAAGCUGAGGGGACGCUCAUAUACGUAGCGGACAGGACCGACCUCUACGUUCGAGUUGGAGAUGGCUUCCGACAAGUCACGCUUGGCGAGUACAAGGCGUUCCCUGGAGACUUGGGCAACGAGGUGGCGGCCGUGCAGACACCUACCGACGCGCACUACUCCCAGGAUAGCUUUACCAACGGUAGAGAACCGGGGCCGGACAGCUACCGCCCAGACACCCGACCACCCCACGAACACGGAUACAGCCGGGAUCCCAUCCCCCUGGACCCCCACAGAUACGCGAGCGGGCCGCAGAGAGGCCCUGGACGUCCCGAGAACCAGCCUGCUAACCACGUUCACGCAGCGGGACCAGGACUGCACCUCAUUGCCCUCAACACACCUCUAACAGGAAGCAUGCGAGAUAUCAGGGGCGUGGACUUCCUGUGCUUCCGGCAGGCACGCGCCGCAGGUCUGAAAGGCACUUUCCGCGCUUUCCUGUCCUCCAGGCUGCAGGACAUCCACAGCGUUGUCCGCAAGUCAGACAGGGACCGCGUGCCCAUCGUCAACCUGCGGGAUGAAGUUCUCUUUGACAGCUGGGAGUCCAUCUUCAGUGAUGCUGAGGGGAAGAUGAAGGACCACGUACCCAUUUACUCCUUCGACGGCAGAGAUCUCAUCAGUGACAGUGCCUGGCCGCUCAAGAUGGUGUGGCACGGCUCGAGCGCCAGAGGUCAGCGGCGGCCGGACGGAUACUGCGAGACGUGGCGCACGGACAGCCGGGAGGCCAGGGGCACGGCCUCCUCCCUGCAGGAGCGGCGCCUCCUCCAGCAGAUGUCAAGCAGCUGCUCGAGCUCCUAUGCCGUGCUGUGCAUCGAGAAUAGCUACGUACCACAGUACAGCAGAUAGGCCGCCACCCCCCAUGGGGGGGAAGAGGGAAGAGAGAGAGAGAGAAAGAAAAGAAAAGAAAAGAAAAAAAACACACACACACACACACACACACACACACGGGCUGCAGAGGUUAGUCCUGUUCCUCACUCCCAUCUAAACUGAAAUGGAUGGAUCAGAAGACAUUGUUUCUUUGGAGGUCACAAGUCCAUAUUUCACAGGUUUAUACCAGACUAAGGAAACUAACCAUGUUUUUAUUCGUGCCUCAACACCUAAAUCAGUUUCAUCUGUCAUCUUUACCCAACUUCACAGCAGAUGACAUUUCCUUAUUUUUAAACAAAGGACCACACAAAAUCUUGAGGACCAAGGUAACAUUAAGUAUUUUCAUUAUAAUAAUAAUAAUAAUAAAAAAAAAAACCAUAUUUAUUAAGAAACA
rnacentral:lncRNA from 1 species